rnacentral:rRNA from 1 species
GGAUGAAUUUUGCGCAAUGGGGGAAACCCUGACGCAGCAACGCCGCGUGAGUGAUGAAGGCCUUCGGGUCGUAAAGCUCUGUCAAGUGGGAAGAAUCUGCCCGGUGAUAAUACCGCUGGGCAAUGACGGUACCGCUGAAGGAAGCACCGGCUAACUCCGUGCCAGCAGCCGCGGUAAUACGGGGGGUGCUAGCGUUAUUCGGAAUCAUUGGGCGUAAAGGGCGCGUAGGCGGUCUUUUAAGUCAGAUGUG